rnacentral:rRNA from 1 species
UACGGAGGGCGCAAGCGUUGUUCGGAAUCACUGGGCGUAAAGCGCGUGUAGGCGGCUUUGCAAGCCGGGUGUGAAAGCCCGAGGCUCAACCUCGGAACUGCACUCGAUACUGCUUGGCUCGAGUCCCGGAGAGGGUGGCGGAAUUCCCGGUGUAGGGGUGAAAUCCGUAGAGAUCGGGAGGAACACCAGUGGCGAAGGCGGCCUCCUGGACGGUGACUGACGCUGAGACGCGAAAGCGUGGGGAGCAAACAGG